CCUACGGGUGGCAGCAGUCGAGAAUCAUUCACAAUGGGGGAAACCCUGAUGGUGCAACGCCGCGUGGGGGAAUGAAGGUCUUCGGAUUUUAAACCCCUGUCAUGUGGGAGCAAAUUAAAAAGAUAGUACCACAAGAGGAAGAGACGGCUAACUCUGUGCCAGCAGCCGCGGUAAUACAGAGGUCUCAAGCGUUGUUCGGAAUCACUGGGCGUAAAGCGUGCGUAGGCUGUUUCGUAAGUCGUGUGUGAAAGGCGCGGGCUCAACCCGCGGACGGCACAUGAUACUGGGAGACUAGAGUAAUGGAGGGGGAACCGGAAUUCUCGGUGUAGCAGUGAAAUGCGUAGAUAUCGAGAGGAAUACUCGUGGCGAAGGCGGGUUCCUGGACAUUAACUGACGCUGAGGCACGAAGGCCAGGGGAGCGAAAGGGAUUAGAUACCCGUGUAGUC
rnacentral:rRNA from 1 species